rnacentral:misc_RNA from 1 species
GGCCCAUGUAACUUACUGCCACCCAUUCGUAAAGAGCCCAUCAGCUCCAGCAACUUACAUGCCCCAAACCGUGUAGUGACACAAGGGCCGUGUAUUAUGUUUCAGCAAUUUUCUGAAUCCGACUCUAACUCCUAUUUUGGCAUACCGAUUGGACUUCUAAUGCCAUUGGGACUCUAAAACUUAACCCUGGGACACCUAAUAUAAAUAAAAGCCAGCAGAAAGUAAA